rnacentral:rRNA from 1 species
UACGGAGGAUGCGAGCGUUAUCCGGAUUUAUUGGGUUUAAAGGGUGCGUAGGCGGGCUGUUAAGUCAGCGGUCAAAUGUCGGGGCUCAACCCCGGCCUGCCGUUGAAACUGGCGGCCUCGAGUGGGCGAGAAGUAUGCGGAAUGCGUGGUGUAGCGGUGAAAUGCAUAGAUAUCACGAAGAACCCCGAUUGCGAAGGCAGCCUGCCGCAGCGUUACUGACGCUGAAGCUCGAAAGCGCGGGUAUCGAACAGG